UACAGAGGUCCCAAGCGUUGUUCGGAUUCACUGGGCGUAAAGGGUGCGUAGGUGGCGAGGUAAGUCGGAUGUGAAAGCUCGGAGCUCAACUCCGAAAUGGCAUUGGAAACUACCUUGCUCGAGGGUUGGAGGGGGGACUGGAAUUCCCAGUGUAGCGGUGAAAUGCGUAGAUAUUGGGAAGAACACCUGAGGCGAAGGCGGGUUGCUGGGCCGACACUGACGCUGAGGCGCGAAAGCCAGGGGAGCAAACGGG
rnacentral:rRNA from 1 species